rnacentral:piRNA from 1 species
GGACAGAUUGGAUACCUCGUGAGGAGAGGGG